CCAAAUAAUAGUCAGUAGCCACAAUAUGGCAGCUUCCAUGUACCAAGCUCUGAUCUUUCUAAUACCAAAUCAUCUUAGUUUAUAAUUAACAUUUGAUCGAUUUUUAUGGAGUCUUGAUUCUUGCUGCUCUGGUGACACAGCUAAGUGAAUGGACACUGAGUUCUGGAGCAGCAUUACUGUAUACAAGCAGUGUGAUGACAAGGAUGUCAAGAGCUUUCCAGGUUCUGGAGUACAGCAGAAUACAAGAUGGCAGGAGCAGAGGCUAGCCAACGGAGCCAAAGUUGGCCCUCACACAGCAGAACUGAACUGGAGGCCAGGUCACAGUGUGCAGGACAUAGUGUAAGCCCCAAGGAGACAAUUUGGUGAUGGGCAAAAGUUGCCCUGUAUCCACAGUAUACAUCUACUUCUACAUUGAAAGCUGAGGAACAAUCAGGCACUAGGUCAUGACCAAUCUCAUCUGUAAAAGUCAUCUCUCCGGAUUUGCAGUAAGAGAUGACUGAGGAACACACAGCCAGGAACUUCAAGAUCUCUGUGUCUCAGGGUGGGUUUGCUGAUAUUUUUUUCAAGAGCUUUUUGUUUGGAGUUGCUUAUGAAAAUGAGUUUGUUAGUUUUGGAAAUUAUAGGUAAAGGAUAUUAAUUUAAUACUCUUCACAUGAGGAAGAGCAAUAU
rnacentral:lncRNA from 1 species